UACGGAGUGUGCAAGCGUUACUCGGAAUCACUGGGCAUAAAGCGCGCGUAGGCGGGUUUCCAAGUCGGUUGUGAAAUCCCUCAGCUCAACUGAGGAACUGCAUCCGAUACUGUUUGUCUUGAGGACGGGAGGGGAGAGUGGAACUUCUGGUGAAGCGGUGAAAUGCGUAGAUAUCAGGAGGAACACCGGUGGCGAAGGCGGCUAUCUGGACAGAGUCUGACGCUGAGGCGCGAAAGCUAGGGGAGCAAACAGG
rnacentral:rRNA from 1 species